rnacentral:rRNA from 1 species
UACAGAGGGUGCAAGCGUUAAUCGGACUUAUUGGGCGUAAAGCGCGCGUAGGCGGUUACUCAAGUCGGAUGUGAAAGCCCUCGGCUUAACUGAGGAAGUGCACCCGAAACUGAGUAGCUAGAGUACUAAAGAGGGUCGCGGAAUUCCCGGUGUAGAGGUGAAAUUCGUAGAUAUCGGGAGGAACACCGGUGGCGAAGGCGGCGACCUGGGUAGAUACUGACGCUGAGGCGCGAAAGCGUGGGGAGCAAACAGG